GGAUGCCGAUCAUACCAGCACUAAAGCAUCGGAUCCCAUCAGAACUCCGAAGUUAAGCGUGCUUGGGCGAGAGUAGUACUAGGAUAGGUGACCUCCUGGGAAGUCCUCGUGUUGCAUUCCC
rnacentral:rRNA from 1 species